rnacentral:snRNA from 1 species
UCCCUUUGGCAGUGCAUAUGCUAAAAUUGGAACAAUACAGAGAAGAUUAGCAUG